CAAAUACUCCCUCCGUCCAGAAAUACUUGUCAUCAAAAUGGAUAAAAGGACAUGUAUCUAGACGUAUUUUAGUUUUAGAUACAUCUCUUUUUAUCCAUUUUGAUGACAAGUAUUUUCGGACGGAGGGAGUAGAAA
rfam:Triticum aestivum genome assembly, contig: Triticum_aestivum_CS42_TGACv1_scaffold_385310_5AL